rnacentral:lncRNA from 1 species
GGCCGACUGAAUAGUUUACAUGCAGUAGGGUCAUUAAGUAUAAUUGACCAAUGUUUUCGUAAUACUGAUGAUAGCUUCCGAAUCGAGGGAUGGUACUUAGUGACCAUAGUUAAAGGGGUGCCCUUGUUAUUAGAUUUCUUUUUAUAUUUCAUUGCAUUUUCUCUUUUAGUAUUUAAGGCUGAAUUUAUGCAAUUGUGAAUUUCGUUGGAUGAGUAACCUCUCUCUAAUAACUUAGAUUCAAAAUGUUUGAUAACAUUUUCAAGAUUAGAUUGAUUGCUGUUUAAACGUAAAUGUCUUAGGGUUUCCCCUUUUACAAAACCUUUAAAUGUUCCAAUAGGGUGUGCACUUGUUCUAUGUAGAAACUGAUACGUUUCGGGUUUUUUAAUGUAGGAUUUUGUAUCGCUUUUAAGUAUAACUAUAUUAUUGUUCUUAUCAGUUUUUUUUAUCACAAUGUCAGCCCUUUUUCUCAGGGAUUUUAAUGCAUUCCAUUCGUUUUUAGAUAAGUUACUAUAGUGUGUUGAAAAUUUUAAGUUGUCAAUUUCCAUCUUUG